GAUCCUGGCUCAGGAUGAACGCUAGCGGCAGGCUUAACACAUGCAAGUCGAGGGGCAGCAUAAUGGUAGUAAUACUAUUGAUGGCGACCGGCGGACGGGUGCGUAACGCGUAUGCAACCUACCCUUUACAGGGGGGAUAACCGACUGAGAAGUCGGUACUAAUACCCCAUAAUAUUCUGGGAGGCAUCUUUCGGAGUUGAAAGCUUUUGGUGGUAAAGGAUGGGCAUGCGUUGUAUUAGCUAGUUGGUAAGG
rnacentral:rRNA from 1 species